GGGGAUGACUGGUUUCGACUUGGAACGGUAGUUCUAGGAGAAGCGGGCCGAGGACUCAGGGUUAUCUCGUUAACGAUCCUUGAAACCAAUAAGUGCCGACACUGUUCGCACUGACUUCGCUCUCGCUGCCUGAUCAGCGAUCGAAGGGUCAGCCUGGGGGUGCCUUCCCUCCAGUACCUGGCCUCAUCUAGGAGGCUCCACCGUGGUACUCACGUCCUAGGGGUACGACGGGACAUUCAUAGGACUGGGCUUGUUCAUGACGUGCUUGCCGAGAGCAUGAGAGCCAAGUAGAACGUAAAGUGUAGCUGCGCCCGGAGAAUGCCUAGGUCUCCUUUCAAGGACGGGGGUUCGAUUCCCCCCAUCUCCACAA
rnacentral:tmRNA from 1 species